UUAGAGUUUGAUCCUGGCUCAGGAUGAACGCUAGCGGCAGGCUUAACACAUGCAAGUCGAGGGGCAGCAUAAGAAUUGGCAAUAGUUCUGGUGGCGACCUGGCGCACGGGUGCGUAACGCGUAUACAACCUACCCUUAACAGGGGGAUAAUCUGGAGAAAUUCGGUCUAAUACCCCAUAAUAUAAGAGACGGCAUCGUUUUUUAUUGAAAUUUUCGAAGGUUAAGGAUGGGUAUGCGUGACAUUAGUUAGUUGGUGAGGUAACGGCUCACCAAGACAACGAUGUCUAGGGGGACUGAGAGGUUUACCCCCCACACUGGUACUGAGACACGGACCAGACUCCUACGGGAGGCAGCAGUGAGGAAUAUUGGUCAAUGGACGGAAGUCUGAACCAGCCAUGCCGCGUGCAGGAUGACGGCUCUAUGAGUUGUAAACUGCUUUUGUACGAGGGUAACCGCAGUUACGUGUAACUGUCUGAAAGUAUCGUACGAAUAAGGAUCGGCUAACUCCGUGCCAGCAGCCGCGGUAAUACGGAGGAUCCGAGCGUUAUCCGGAUU
rnacentral:rRNA from 1 species